ensembl:lncRNA
AUGCUACAGAAGUUCAUUUCCUGCUGGGAAAUAAAUAAUGGAGCUGAGCAGAGGGACCUGGCACGAGAGCUGACGUUUGUGAGAACUGGAGCCAAAGCUGCCCUGGAGCACGUGGGGACGGGUCAUGGACAAAGCUGUCUGCAGCAUCUGCUGAUUUGUCUAUUGAAAAAACAAUCCAACAAAACAACACAAAGCCCUGAGUUAUACAGCCCACGUAUAACAAGAUUUUUGGCAAGUGUGAUUGCAUUCACAAGAAAAUAUUGUCCAAAAAAUGCAAGCUCUCUGUUAGAAGGCUCAUACUAAUUCUGAUUAAUACAGCAAAAGCAAGGACGUUUUUUUCCUUGCUUGGAAGUGUACUGAUCAGAACUGCUCUUCUGACACUCCUCGUAAAUGGAGCGCUUACACUGAAGAUUUCAUCAUCAUCUGUUGCAGGAGAAUUUUCCAGCUAGGCGGUGGUGAGGCUGUGUGACCCCAGUACUCAGCAUUUCAUCGGAGAUGGGAACGUGUCACACAUCAGAUGUGACACUGGGCUGCCUUACGGUGUCCUCAUGAUGUUAAAACGAAGGGACUGAGUAGAGAGCGUGUACAGAAGGAAGGAAGAAAAAGAUCGUGCUGUCAUGUGAAGCUAGAUUUCAGAUUUUUGGGAGCAGCAUCUACAAAAAAAAAAAAAAAAAAGUAUGGAAUUAAGGGAAAACCUGCCCCUAAGAGAAAUGAGAAUAUGUGGCAGGCUUGGGGCCAUCCAGAGAGGUUGAGAAAUACUGGAAAUGUCUAAAGGUUCAGCUGGAUAUAAAGCUUAGCUUGCAGCAGCUGAAUUUCUUGCCCUUUUUACAUCUCUGGAAUUACAGACUGCUGGGUUACAUCAGUUAAUAUCCAGGUAUUACAUGAAAGCAGCAUUUAAAGUUUAACAAUAAUAUGUUAUUACAGAAAACAUAUAUGCACGUUUUUCUCAAAAAUUGUAACUUGAGUAGGAGGAAAAUCUCACAAAGGAAAAAGAAUUCAUUGGCUGAACUGAAUGCUCAUAGUGUUUCUCCAGGCUACACAGCAGCAAGGAAAUCCAGUGGGCUUAAUUGUGCAUUGCUGUGUUUGCAAAGUGUUGGAGGGGCCCUUAUGGUGUGCAGCAGUACUGAAUUGGGUUCAGUCUGGUUGUAAAUCAUAUCAGAGCACUGUUCUAGAAGGGAAAAAAAGCAUGUUUCAGCCAUGGUGAUGGUGACAGUGGGCCACCUCUGCUGAUGCAGAUCUUUAUGAGUAUGGCAUGCAGGCUCUUGCUCCUUGCUGCAAAAAUGCAUAGCUAAUGGUGAUGACUGUUGAAAAUUAGUGUGUUGUAGCUGACAAUGUUCUCUAUUAAAUGGUGGUGUUGUGCUCUUUGUAUUGAUUGUAGUUUCCAUGGAAAUAAACGCGAGGCAUUACUUUUCAGUCUGAAAAUGUUUCCCCUUUGUAUCUUCAGAACAUUGGAAUGAACAGAAAGUUAAUGUGGGGUAAUUUCAAUUUCGGAAUAGGUUCUGGGUGAGUUCCCUUCUCCUGACCCAGUUUCUUCUGAGCUGUGUUUUUCUUUUAGUCUCAUCUGGUAUGAAUUAAACUUCCUUGGCCACACAUUGCAAUCUGGUCAUUAGUAACACAUGGCAGCUGUGCACAGGUGUUUCUGUAGUUGGUGGUGUGCUUUGGUACAAGGUUUGUAUGU